rnacentral:rRNA from 1 species
GUGGGGAAUCUUCCGCAAUGGACGAAAGUCUGACGGAGCGACGCCGCGUGAGUGAAGAAGGCCUUCGGGUCGUAAAGCUCUGUCAUCAGGGACGAACGGCCGGUGUAGUGGAAAGCCACCGGAUUGACGGUCCCUGAGAAGGAAGCCACGGCUAACUACGUGCCAGCAGCCGCGGUAAUACGUAGGUGGCAAGCUUUGUCCGGCAUUAUUGGGCGUAAAGCGGGCUCAGGUGGGAUCUUAAGUCCAUUUUGAAAGGUCGGAGCUCAACUCCGUGAUGGGAUGGAAACUGGGAUUCUUGAGUACCGGAGAGGAAAGCGGAAUUCCCCGUGUAGCGGUGAAAUGCGUAGAUAUGGGGAGGAACACCAGUGGCGAAGGCGGCUUUCUGGACGGUGUCUGACACUGAGGCGCGAAAGCUAGGGGAGCGAACGGGAUUAGAAACCCCUGUAGUCC